rnacentral:rRNA from 1 species
GGUUUACCUGUGUGACUGCGUACCUUUUGUAUAAUGGGUCAGCGACUUAUAUUCUGUAGCAAGGUUAACCGUAUAGGGGAGCCGGAGGGAAACCGAGUCUUAACCGGGCGUUAAGUUGCAGGGUAUAGACCCGAAACCCGGUGAUCUAGCCAUGGGCAGGUUGAAGGUUGGGUAACACUAACUGGAGGACCGAACCGACUAAUGUUGAAAAAUUAGCGGAUGACCUGUGGCUGGGGGUGAAAGGCCAAUCAAACCGGGAGAUAGCUGGUUCUCCCCGAAAGCUAUUUAGGUAGCGCCUCGUGAAUUCAUCUCCGGGGGUAGAGCACUGUUUCGGCUAGGGGGCCAUCCCGGCUUACCAACCCGAUGCAAACUGCGAAUACCGGAGAAUGUUAUCACGGGAGACACACGGCGGGUGCUAACGUCCGUCGUGAAGAGGGAAACAACCCAGACCGCCAGCUAAGGUCCCAAAGUCAUGGUUAAGUGGGAAACGAUGUGGGAAGGCCCAGACAGCCAGGAUGUUGGCUUAGAAGCAGCCAUCAUUUAAAGAAAGCGUAAUAGCUCACUGGUCGAGUCGGCCUGCGCGGAAGAUGUAACGGGGCUAAACCAUGCACCGAAGCUGCGGCAGCGACACUCAGGUGUUGUUGGGUAGGGGAGCGUUCUGUAAGCCUGUGAAGGUGUGUCGUGAGGCAUGCUGGAGGUAUCAGAAGUGCGAAUGCUGACAUAAGUAACGAUAAAGCGGGUGAAAAGCCCGCUCGCCGGAAGACCAAGGGUUCCUGUCCAACGUUAAUCGGGGCAGGGUGAGUCGACCCCUAAGGCGAGGCCGAAAGGCGUAGUCGAUGGGAAACGGGUUAAUAUUCCCGUACUUGGUGUUACUGCGAAGGGGGGACGGAGAAGGCUAUGUUGGCCGGGCGACGGUU